rnacentral:rRNA from 1 species
UACGUAGGGUCCGAGCGUUGUCCGGAAUUAUUGGGCGUAAAGGGCUCGUAGGCGGUUCGUCACGUCGGGCGUGAAAACUCGGAGCUUAACUCCGAGCCUGCUUCCGAUACGGGCAGACUAGAGGUAGGCAGGGGAGAGCGGAACUCCUGGUGUAGCGGUGGAAUGCGCAGAUAUCAGGAAGAACACCGGUGGCGAAGGCGGCUCUCUGGGCCUUAACUGACGCUGAGGAGCGAAAGCAUGGGGAGCGAACAGG